rnacentral:rRNA from 1 species
AGUGAACGCUGGCGGUAGGCCUAACACAUGCAAGUCGAACGGCAGCACAGAGGAGCUUGCUCCUUGGGUGGCGAGUGGCGGACGGGUGAAGAAUACAUCGGAAUCUACUCUGUCGUGGGGGGUAACGUAGGGAAACUUACGCUAAUACCGCAUACGACCUACGGGUGAAAGCAGGGGAUCUUCGGACCUUGCGCGAUUGAAUGAGCCGAUGUCGGAUUAGCGAGUUGGCGGGGUAAAGGCCCACCAAGGCGACGAUCCGUAGCUGGUCUGAGAGGAUGAUCAGCCACACUGGAACUGAGACACGGUCCAGACUCCUACGGGAGGCAGCAGUGGGGAAUAUUGGACAAUGGGCGCAAGCCUGAUCCAGCCAUACCGCGUGGGUGAAGAAGGCCUUCGGGUUGUAAAGCCCUUUUGUUGGGAAAGAAAUCCAUCUGGUUAAUACCCGGGUGGGAUGACGGUACCCAAAGAAUAAGCACCGGCUAACUUCGUGCCAGCAGCCGCAGUAA